UACGUAGGGGGCAAGCGUUGUCCGGAUUUAUUGGGCGUAAAGAGCGUGUAGGCGGCCAUACAGGUCAGCUGUGAAAACUCGAGGCUCAACCUCGAGACGUCGGUUGAAACCGUAUGGCUAGAGUCCGGAAGAGGAGAGUGGAAUUCCCGGUGUAGCGGUGAAAUGCGCAGAUAUCGGGAAGAACACCCGUGGCGAAGGCGGCUCUCUGGGACGGUACUGACGCUGACGCGAAAGCGUGGGGAGCGAACAGG
rnacentral:rRNA from 1 species